GCUUCUCACUGUUUAAACCAGUGAAACUCAAACACACAGGUAUCAGGGGCAGUGUGAGUAGUCAGAGCAGUGUUUCUACAUGUCGUUACAGGGUCUGCCUGGUUUAGACAAAGCUGGAUCCGGAGCCAAACACCCAGAGGGAUCCUGGCCUCUCACAGCCCCAUGAGCCCCGAGAGCUUCAAACUCAUGCACCGGCACAGUGAGAUGGGGAACGUCGGUAACCUGCUGAUCCUGGCUGACGGCAUGGUGGUGGAGCACCCCGAGGACUUCUACCGCAUGCAGGCAAGCCCCUCCUCCUCCAGUCUUAGCUCCACCCACUCAGCGCCCUCUCAGAUGAUAAACUCCGCCCC